rnacentral:rRNA from 1 species
CAAAAACAUAGCCUUGUGAGUAAUAUUCAAAAUACAAGGUGAGCCCUGCCCAAUGAAUAGAAAAAUUAUUUUAAUGGCCGCAGUACCCUGACUGUGCUAAGGUAGCAUAAUCAGUUGGCUUUUAAAUGGAGUCUGGAAUGAAUGGGUUUACGUGGGGAAGCUGUCUCUGGAGUGUUAAGUAGAAGUUAGUGAUUGGGUGAAAACACCCAAGAGCUUAGGAUAGACGAGAAGACCCUUAGAGUUUUUCUUAUUUUAGCGCAAAAUACCCCACUACCCUUAAAUGAUGGGUGUAGGAACCUUUGAGCUUAAAUGGUUUUGUUGGGGCGACAAAGAAACAAGAAAACUUUUCGUUGUUAAACUUUCUAGAUCUUUUUUAGCACGUGCCGAGUCCAGUUAAGCCAGGGAGUUUAGUUACUCCCUGUCACUUACGGUACUAAGAACGAAUAAACUACCUUAGGGAUAACAGCAUAAUUUUUAAUAAAGCUUGUGACCUCGAUGUUGGACUAGGGACCCUGAGGCUAGACGCCAUACGGGCGGGUUCUGUUCGAACUUUUACCCCUACGUGAUNU